rnacentral:misc_RNA from 1 species
GAUGAAGAACGUAGCGAAAUGCGAUACGUAAUGUGAAUUGCAAAUUCAGUGAAUCAUCGAGUCUUUGAACGCACAUUGCGCCCCCUGGUAUUCCGGGGGGCAUGCCUGUCCGAGCGUCAUUGCUGCCCUCAAGCACGGCUUGUGUGUUGGGCCCCGUCCUCCGAUUCCGGGGGACGGGCCCGAAAGGCAGCGGCGGCACCGCGUCCGGUCCUCGAGCGUAUGGGGCGUUGUCACCCGCUCUGUAGGCCCGGCCGGCGCUUGCCGAUCAACCCAAAUUUUUAUCCAGGUUGACCUCGGAUCAGGUAGGGAUACCCGCUGAACUUAAGCAUAUCAAUAAGCGGAGGA